ACGAGUUAAACAAAACUCCAAACCCUUUGUGAACCUUACCAAAGUUGCCUCGGCGUGAGCUGCGGUUACCCUGUAGUUACCCUGGAAGCGUCUACCCUGUAGGUGCUUACCCUGGAGCUACCCUGUAACCGGCUAACGGCCCGCCGAAGGACCACUAAACUCUGUUUUUACCCAAGUGUAUCUCUGAAUGCUUCAACUAAAUAAGUUA
rnacentral:misc_RNA from 1 species